UGGGGAAUAUUGCACAAUGGGCGCAAGCCUGAUGCAGCCAUGCCGCGUGUGUGAAGAAGGCCUUCGGGUUGUAAAGCACUUUCAGCGGGGAGGAAGGCGGUGAGGUUAAUAACCUCACCGAUUGACGUUACCCGCAGAAGAAGCACCGGCUAACUCCGUGCCAGCAGCCGCGGUAAUACGGAGGGUGCAAGCGUUAAUCGGAAUUACUGGGCGUAAAGCGCACGCAGGCGGUCUGUCAAGUCGGAUGUGAAAUCCCCGGGCUCAACCUUGGAACUGCAUUCGAAACUGGCAGGCUAGAGUCUUGUAGAGGGGGGUAGAAUUCCAGGUGGAGCGGUGAAAUGCGUAGAGAUCUGGAGGAAUACCGGUAGCGAAGGCGGCCCCCAGGACAAAGACUGACGCUCAGGUGCGAAAGCGUGGGGAGCAAACAGG
rnacentral:rRNA from 1 species